GGCAUGUCUGUGGGACACUCUAGGAAGGCUCAGCAGGUGACCUGCAGCCAGGAGAGAUGCCAGCUGGACAAGAAGCUUCAGAGUCACGCUGGCAGAGAACCCGUGGUGCCGAGUCCUCCAACACCGUACGAAGGACCGAGGGCAUCUGAGAGAAGAGUGACCCCCAGGCUCAGGGCAGAGAGUCAGCAGACGCAAGGUGUUGGUGCAGGCUGGCCUGGGCCCCGGAGCACGUAAGGCCUCACAGGGCUGCUGGUGGGCAGGGCGACAGAGCCCACUCAUCCUGAAAGGGAAGAAGGGCCACAGGCAGACAGAGCUAAGGGCAGGGCAGGGCACCUGGUUCCCCGGGUCUGUGGGUUUUAGUGGACAGCUGAUGGUAAAACAGACAUGAAGAGCUGAAGGUGUCGGAGCAGAGAGCAGCAAGGUUGGUGGCAGCUCAGCAAGCCCUGCCCCAGUAGGACAGGAGGCAGCUCGGGACACCGCCAUUUUUGUAGGAGGCUCAGAUCACAGGCAUCAAAGUGAACUUCACCUGCAAACCCACCACACUGUCCGGGCCCUCCCCACUCCCUCCAGCCUUUCCUACAGGGAACAGUAGGCAUAACACUGGGUCCCCUGGUCAUUAAGGGCCACUGUGGAUGGACUGCACCCUGCUGGCUGUUCUGUGGACUGCCCAAGAUGCACCAGGCCCCCAAAGGCCACAGAGAAGGGGAACUCUCCUCAGGUAAACAAAGAUAUUCAAUUAAAAUUAAAAAAUCCUGGGCCUCCCACUCGGACACUGGGCUGAGGAGUAAAAUUGC
rnacentral:lncRNA from 1 species